rnacentral:rRNA from 1 species
GCCGAGCGGUAGAGAUUCUUCGGAAUCUUGAGAGCGGCGCACGGGUGCGGAACACGUGUGCAACCUGCCUUUAUCUGGGGGAUAGCCUUUCGAAAGGAAGAUUAAUACCCCAUAAUAUAUUGACUGGCAUCAGUUGAUAUUGAAAACUCCGGUGGAUAGAGAUGGGCACGCGCAGGAUUAGAUAGUUGGUGAGGUAACGGCUCACCAAGUCAACGAUCCUUAGGGGGCCUGAGAGGGUGAUCCCCCACACUGGUACUGAGACACGGACCAGACUCCUACGGGAGGCAGCAGUGAGGAAUAUUGGACAAUGGGUGAGAGCCUGAUCCAGCCAUCCCGCGUGAAGGACGACGGCCCUAUGGGUUGUAAACUUCUUUUGUAUAGGGAUAAACCUACCCUCGUGAGGGUAGCUGAAGGUACUAUACGAAUAAGCACCGGCUAACUCCGUGCCAGCAGCCGCGGUAAU